UGCAGUCGAACGGCAGCACAGCAGAGCUUGCUCUGUGGGUGGCGAGUGGCGGACGGGUGAGGAAUACAUGGGAAUCUGCCCAGUCGUGGGGGAUAACGUAUGGAAACGUACGCUAAUACCGCAUGCGCCCUUCGGGGGAAAGCCGGGGACCUUCGGGCCUGGCGCGAUUGGAUGAGCCCAUGUCGGAUUAGCUAGUUGGCGGGGUAAAGGCCCACCAAGGCGACGAUCCGUAGCUGGUCUGAGAGGAUGAUCAGCCACACUGGAACUGAGACACGGUCCAGACUCCUACGGGAGGCAGCAGUAGGGAAUAUUGGACAAUGGGCGCAAGCCUGAUCCAGCCAUGCCGCGUGUGUGAAGAAGGCCUUCGGGUUGUAAAGCACUUUUGUCCGGAAAGAAAAGCACUGGGUGAAUACCCUGGUGUCCUGACGGUACCGGAAGAAUAAGCACCGGCUAACUUCGUGCCAGCA
rnacentral:rRNA from 1 species